CCCUAUGAAGGUUCCCAAGCCAAAAAGCUAACCCUCCUUGAGGACCCAAGGGUUCCACACAAUGCCUCAAGGGAACACAUUGAGUCUACAGAUAGGGGCGAGUAAUAGGAUUUAGCUAUAAAGAUGUCUCCCUUUGAUACCUACCAAACCAUGAAAUCAUCAAAACCCCCUUCUAAUUGUGUGCCCUUGCAACCUUCUUUCCACCUCUCCCAUCUCACAACCAAUAUUUUUUGAAAAAUGCAAGUUAAAGUUUCC
rnacentral:lncRNA from 1 species